rnacentral:rRNA from 1 species
CAAGUCGAGCGAGAAAGCGCAAGCAAGUACAGCGGCGUAAGGGUGAGUAACAGGUAGUCAACGUACCUUGGGGACGCGGAUAAUUCCUCGAAAGGGGUUGUAAUACGCGAUGAGACCACGCUUCCUUCGGGGGGAGGGGUCAAAGGUGGGGGAUCCUUCGGGACCUCGCGCCCUGAGAGCGGACGACCUCUGAUUAGCUAGAUGGCGGGGUAACGGCCCACCAUGGCUGUGAUCGGUAGCCGGCCUGAGAGGGUGUUCGGCCACACUGGGACUGAGACACUGCCCAGACUCCUACGGGAGGCUGCAGUCGCGAAUCUUUCACAAUGGGCGCAAGCCUGAUGAAGCCACGCCGCGUGCGGGAUGAAGGCCCUCUGGGUUGUAAACCGCUGUCAAGUGGGGGGAACCGUAGCGCGUGAACAGCGCGCUGCCUGACUGCCCGCUAAAGGAAGCCCCGGCAAAACAUGUGCCAGCAGCCGCGGUAAUACAUGUGGGGCAAGCGUUGUUCGGAAUUACUGGGCAUAAAGGGUGCGUAGGCGGCUUGUUAAGUCAGGGGUGAAAUUUUUCGGCCCAACCGGAAAAGCGCCUUUGAUACUGGCGAGCUUGAGUGCGUGAGGGGUGACUGGAACGAGUGGUGUAGCGGUGAAAUGCGUAGAUAUCACUCGGAAGGCCAAAGGCGAAGGCAGGUCACUGGUACGCAACUGACGCUGAGGCACGAAAGCGUGGGGAGCAAACAGGAUUAGAUACCCUGGUAGUCCACGCCGUAAACGAUGAGCACUAGGUAGGUGCCGAGCUAUUCGGUGCCUGCCGCAGACAAUUUGGUAAGUGCUCCGCCUGGGGAGUAUGGUCGCAAGGCUGAAACUC